rnacentral:rRNA from 1 species
AGGACGAACGCUGGCGGCGUGCCUAAUACAUGCAAGUAGAACGCUGAAGACUUUAGCUUGCUAAAGUUGGAAGAGUUGCGAACGGGUGAGUAACGCGUAGGUAACCUGCCUACUAGCGGGGGAUAACUAUUGGAAACGAUAGCUAAUACCGCAUAACAGCUUUUAACUCAUGUUAGGAGCUUGAAAGAUGCAAUUGCAUCACUAGUAGAUGGACCUGCGUUGUAUUAGCUAGUUGGUGAGGUAACGGCUCACCAAGGCGACGAUACAUAGCCGACCUGAGAGGGUGAUCGGCCACACUGGGACUGAGACACGGCCCAGACUCCUACGGGAGGCAGCAGUAGGGAAUCUUCGGCAAUGGGGGCAACCCUGACCGAGCAACGCCGCGUGAGUGAAGAAGGUUUUCGGAUCGUAAAGCUCUGUUGUAAGAGAAGAACGUGUGUGAGAGUGGAAAGUUCACACAGUGACGGUAACUUACCAGAAAGGGACGGCUAACUACGUGCCAGCAGCCGCGGUAAUACGUAGGUCCCGAGCGUUGUCCGGAUUUAUUGGGCGUAAAGCGAGCGCAGGCGGUUUAAUAAGUCUGAAGUUAAAGGCAGUGGCUUAACCAUUGUUCGCUUUGGAAACUGUUAGACUUGAGUGCAGAAGGGG